rnacentral:misc_RNA from 1 species
GAACGCACAUUGCGCCUUCUGGUAUUCCGGGAGGCAUGCCUGUUUGAGUGUCAUGAAAAUAUCAACCUUGACUUGGGUUUUGUGCUCUAGUCUUGGCUUGGAAUUGGGUGCUUGCCGCUUUUACGAGCGGCUCACCUUAAAUGUAUUAGCUGGAUCUGUCUUUGAGACUUGGUUUGACUUGGCGUAAUAAGUAUUUCGCUAAGGACAUUCUUCGGAGUGGCCUCGUUUCUAGGACGCUUGUCCGCUUCCCAAUACAAGUUCCACCUCGUGGACAUGACUUUUUUAUUAUCUGGCCUCAAAUCAGGUAGGACUACCCGCUGAACUUAAG